rnacentral:rRNA from 1 species
AUGGCCAAGGCAAAGUCCAUGGCGGCGCUACUCGCCGUGGUCCUGGUCCUGGGCGCGUCCGUGGACGUCGCGCACGGCAUCUGCAACAUCUCCAGCGGCGGGAUCCGUGCGUGCCAGCCGGCGGCGGCCAUCCACAACCCGACGGACGCGCCGUCCGCCGACUGCUGCGCGGCGCUGGCGGGGGCCGACCUGCCGUGCCUCUGCCGGUACAAGAACGUCGGCGCCAUGUGGGUGAGGUUCUACAAGAUCGACGUGAAGCGCGCCAUGGCGUUGCCGCGCAAGUGCGGCCUCGCCAUGCCCGCCAACUGCUGA